AUGAUGACCACUACACUACAGUCCUAGUUUUACACAUUCAUUCAAAAUUUAUUUAGUAAAUGACAGGAUGUUGACAUUCUUUAUAUAUGUGUAUUAUCAUAGGAUAGCUAAAAGUCAAAGUAAUUACAAUGGCUGUCUCCCUCCAUCACUAACCAUUGGUAACUCCACUCUACUCUGUUAGGCCAACUGAAAACUCUGAUUGAAAACUGUAAGCAAAGUGUUGUGGAAUUUGUCCCUCUGUGGCUGGUCUACCUCACUUAACACUAUGUCCUCAGCUUUUUCAUACCUGUGAUUGUAAGUGACAGAGCCUCUUUAGAAAGGGCGGAGUAGCUAAUGUUCCAUGUGUGUCUGCUGUGUUUUCCUCUGUCCACUGAUGAACAGUAGCUUGAUUUUGCAUCUUGGUUAUUAAGAGUAAUCGUGCUGUGAAUGUGAAGGAGUAAGUGUCUCCAAAAGACACUGAAUGCUUCAGAACACCUUGAUUCCACUACUGUGGCAAUGUGCUCAGCGAGGGGCAGGCACUGUGGCUCUCCUCUCAUUUUCUAAAGAAGUCGUCAUGCUAGAGCACUAGCUGAUCUUGCAGAGGACCUGACCUUGAUUCCCAGCACCCACAAAUCAGUUGUUAAUCACUUGGUGACCCCACUCUGCUCUACUACUGCCAACUGAACACUCAGAUUGCACUCCGGGGACCCAAAAUAGAGAUGUUCCCGCUCGGUUUCGAACCGAGGACCUCUCGCGUGUGAGGCGAGCGUGAUAACCACUACACUACGGAAACACAACGGGGAGUUGCAAGAUUAGAAGAUGUGGCCCUGUUGGAGUAGGUGUGUCACUGUGGGUGUGGCUUAUAAGACCCUCGUCCUAGCUGCCUAGAAGUCAAUGUUCUCCUAGCAGGGUUCAGAUGAAGAUGUAGAACUCUCAGCGACUCCUGCACCCAUGCCUGCCUGGACUCGGCCAUGUUCCUACCUUGAUGAAUCUCUGAAUCUGUAAGCUCCAAUUAAAUGUCCUUAUAAGAGU